UACGAAGGGGGCUAGCGUUGCUCGGAAUCACUGGGCGUAAAGCGCACGUAGGCGGAUCGCUAAGUCAGGGGUGAAAUCCUGGAGCUCAACUCCAGAACUGCCUUUGAUACUGGCAAUCUCGAGUCCGGGAGAGGUGAGUGGAACUGCGAGUGUAGAGGUGAAAAUUCGUAGAUAUUCGCAAGAACACCAGUGGCGAAGGCGGCUCACUGGCCCGGUACUGACGCUGAGGUGCGAAAGCGUGGGGAGCAAACAGGG
rnacentral:rRNA from 1 species